rnacentral:rRNA from 1 species
CGUUACCAAACUGUUGCCUCGGCGGGAUCUCUGCCCCGGGUGCGUCGCAGCCCCGGACCAAGGCGCCCGCCGGAGGACCAACCAAAACUCUUAUUGUAUACCCCCUCGCGGGUUUUUUUAUAAUCUGAGCCUUCUCGGCGCCUCUCGUAGGCGUUUCGAAAAUGAAUCAAAACUUUCAACAACGGAUCUCUUGGUUCUGGCAUCGAUGAAGAACGCAGCGAAAUGCGAUAAGUAAUGUGAAUUGCAGAAUUCAGUGAAUCAUCGAAUCUUUGAACGCACAUUGCGCCCGCCAGUAUUCUGGCGGGCAUGCCUGUCCGAGCGUCAUUUCAACCCUCGAACCCCUCCGGGGGGUCGGCGUUGGGGAUCGGCCCUCCCUUAGCGGGUGGCCGUCUCCGAAAUACAGUGGCGGUCUCGCCGCAGCCUCUCCUGCGCAGUAGUUUGCACACUCGCAUCGGGAGCGCGGCGCGUCCACAGCCGUUAAACACCCAACUUCUGAAAUGUUGACCUCGGAUCAGGUAGGAAUACCCGCUGAACUUAAGCAUAUCAAU